rnacentral:misc_RNA from 1 species
GUCGUUUCAUUGCAUGAAUUUGAAUUUAACAUUCUCACCUGAAGUCACAACGUUAAAAUGUGAUUCAUUUCGAAUCAUCGGAAAUUUUAUAAUUUAUCCUGAAAUUAAAAUUGACUAGCAUUAUGCAUUGAAGCAACUUACACACGGUCACAGAUAUAUUUAAAGCAAAUAAAAUUGAGAAUAGAGAUACUCCCGAAUCUUAUAAUAAUCUUCGCAUAAGGGUCCUUCAACGACGAUUUGCUGAGUGCCAGAACCACCG